rnacentral:rRNA from 1 species
UACGGGGGGUGCGAGCGUUGUCCGGAAUCACUGGGCGUAAAGGGCGCGUAGGUGGUUUGAUAAGGGUGUGGUGAAAGCCCGGGGCUCAACCCCGGGUCUGCCGUGCCGACUGUCAAACUCGAGGGCUGUAGAGGCAGACGGAAUUCCGGGUGUAGCGGUGGAAUGCGUAGAGAUCCGGAGGAAGACCGGUGGCGAAGGCGGCCAUCUGGACGACAACUGACGCUGAGAUGCGAAAGCGUGGGGAGCAAACAGG